rnacentral:rRNA from 1 species
GACGAACGCUGGCGGCGUGCUUAACACAUGCAAGUCGAACGGUAAGGCCUUCGGGUACACGAGUGGCGAACGGGUGAGUAACACGUGGGUGAUCUGCCCUGCACUUCGGGAUAAGCCUGGGAAACUGGGUCUAAUACCGGAUAGGACUCCUGGCUUCCCGGUUGGGGGUGGCAAGCUUUUGCGGUGUGGGAUGGGCCCGCGGCCUAUCAGCUUGUUGGUGGGGUAAUGGCCUACCAAGGCGACGACGGGUAGCCGGCCUGAGAGGGUGUCCGGCCACACUGGGACUGAGAUACGGCCCAGACUCCUACGGGAGGCAGCAGUGGGGAAUAUUGCACAAUGGGCGCAAGCCUGAUGCAGCGACGCCGCGUGGGGGAUGACGGCCUUCGGGUUGUAAACCUCUUCCAGUGGGGACGAAGCGCAAGUGACGGUACCUACAGAAGAAGCACCGGCCAACUACGUGCCAGCAGCCGCCGUAA